rnacentral:rRNA from 1 species
CAGCAGCCGCGGGAAUACGGAGGGUGCAAGCGUUAAUCGGAAUUACUGGGCGUAAAGCGUGCGUAGGCGGUUCGUUAAGUCUGUUGUGAAAGCCCCGGGCUCAACCUGGGAAUGGCAAUGGAUACUGGCGAGCUAGAGUGUGUCAGAGGAUGGUGGAAUUCCCGGUGUAGCGGUGAAAUGCGUAGAGAUCGAGAGGAACAUCAGUGGCGAAGGCGGCCAUCUGGGACAACACUGACGCUGAGGCACGAAAGCGUGGGGAGCAAACAGGAUUAGAUACCCCAGUAGUCCCUGUCUCUUAUAC